UUGAACUGUCUGUCAGUAUGUCAGUCAGUCUGUCCUUCAGUCCGAAAAAAACAUUAACAUUGGCCAUAACUUUUUCACUUUUUAAGAUAGCAACUUGAUAUUUGGCAUACAUGUGUAUCUCAUGGAGCUGCACAUUUUGAGUGGUGAAAGGUCAAGGUCAUCCUUCAAGGUCAAAUGUCAAAUUUAUGGUGUCUGUCCGUCCGAAAACUUUAACAUUGGCCAUAACUUUUUCAAUAUUGAAGAUAGCAACUUGAUAUUUGGCAUGCAUGUGUAUCUCAUGGAGCUGUACAUUUUGAGUGGUGAAAGGUGAAGGCCAUCCUUCAAAGUCAAAUGUCAAAUAUAUGGUGUCUGUCCAUCUGAAAACUUUAACAUUGGCCAUAACUUUUUAAAUAUUGAAGAUAGCAACUUUAUAUUUGGCAUGCAUGUGUAUCUCAUGAAGCUGCACAUUUUGAGUGGUGGAAGUUCAAGGUCAUCCUUCAAGGUCAAGGGCAUCCUUCUAGGUCAAAGUAAAAAUAAAAAAUAAAAAUUCAAAGUGGCGCAAUAGGGGGCAUUGUGUUUCUGACAAACACAUCUCUUGUUUUUAUCAAACAUUGUUAAAAACACAAAUAUUUAUAUUAUUAUUAUAUUUUUGAAAUACCGUCCAACCAUCCCACCCAAGAACUCCACUCCCCCCCAAAAAAGUAAUGUUUUUUUUUGCAUUUUUAACCAGGUUUUCCGAAGGAAAAAACUGGUUAUUAGAUUGGCGAAUGCGGGCGGGCUAGCUGGCUGGCUGGCGGGCUGGCAGAAUAAGCUUGUCCGGGCCAUAACUAUGUCGUUCAUUGUCAGAUUUUAAAAUCAUUUGGCACAUUUGUUCACCAUCAUUGGACGGUGUGUCGCGCGAAAUAAUUACGUCGAUAUCUCCAAGGUCAAGGUCACACUUUGAGUUCAAAGGUCAAAAAUGGCCAUAAAUGAGCUUGUCCUGGCCAUAACUAUGUCAUUCAUUGUGAGAUUUUAAAAUCAUUUGGCACAUUUGUUCACCAUCAUGGGACGGUGUGUCCCACGAAAGAAUCACGUCAAUAUCUCCAAUGUCAAGGUCGCCACGACUAAAAAUAGAUUUAAAAAAAAAAAAAAAAAUUACAAAGGGGGUUAAUUUUUUUUGGUCAUUUCAAAAGUUCAGUUUGAGUUUUCUCCCUUUAUCAGAUUUUUUUUUCACAAUGAAAACCUGGUUUUGUGACAAUUUUGUCCCUUGUUGAAAGAUAAUCUAAUAAAUGACCACACCCCCACACUAAACACCCCUCACCACUCCACCCCUCCGUCCUUUGUGAUUGAAAUUAGGUCCCUACACCUUUAAAAAGAAAAAUAGAUGAGCGGUCUGCACCCGCAAGGCGGUGCUCUUGUUUAAACCUUGUGAGCGCCCUAGGGCUUUUGGCCUUCCUUUUUUCAUUGACAUGCUUUUGAGGAUUCAUGUUUUUAGUAAUUAGAUUUAAAACUUAUUACUAAUACUUCCUUAUUAGUUAUAGAUAACUGAAAAUUUUGCAGCACCAAAAGAGAAGCCUUCAACAAUUGUUUGAGACUGAACUAUAUUUUACUAGAAAAAGCUUUAAAAGCUCAUUUUGUUCAUAUUGCAAUUUAAUGUGCAAAAAAAAUUAUUGUAAAAAAAUAAUGGAAUCUGUAAAUGAAAAUAAUAUGUAAAAUAAACCAUAGCAUAUACUAUUUUGUACUAUAAAAUAAAAUAUUAAAUUAUAAUACAAAUGAAUGGAAUGAACGAUUGAAGUCAGUUUUUCUUAACACAGUUGGCACACUUUAAAAGGUAAGUGUCAGUUCAUUCACAUUUUGCCAGUACAAUCAAAAGAAGUUCCUUCUAAAUCCAUCUCCUUGAAUGUGCUGUUCCUGAUUCUUUUAAGGGCAAAGUGUUUCUUAUGUGACUAUAGCAGUAUGAGUAAGAAUGAUGGUAUAGCAUUUGAACUUUGAAACAUUCCGUCAACACUACUUAACAUAAACAACAGAUAUUGGAUUAAAACUAUGAAGUAAAGUUGAGAAGAGGUUUUAUCAUAAAAUAGAUGUUGUUGAAAAAGUAAGCCAAUAUCAAAUGUAAGAACACAUUCUUAUAAAUAAAUUCAAAUGAAGGCUUCUUCGUUUAUGAAAGAAAAAUGGUUGCUCUGUUGGUCAUUCCAUGUUAAUUCAUUGAGUUCAAAUUAUGUAACUUAAAAAAGCUCAAAUGAAGUUCAUGGCUUACUUUCAGUAUGUAUUUACCAUUUGCAUUAGGUUACUUAUUUAUAAGAAAGUUAAACAAAGAUUCAGGCAAGUGGGUAAUUGUGAAUAUUGGUUGUUAAUACUUAUUUUAUGAAUCAAAAUCAUAUAUUUUGUAACCACUCUUCUUGUUUUGGUGAUGGCCAGAUAAAAAGAGCUCUGGGAAAACAGGGCUUAAUGCAUGUGCUGAAAGUGUUGUCAGGAGAUUAGCCUGUGCAGUCCUCACAGGCUAAUCAGGGAAGUCUCUUUCUGCCUAGACUGGAUUUUCAGUUUGAUUAGACUUCCUUUCAAGGAAACAUUCCAUUAAAGCAGAAAGUGCUGUUCCUGAUUAGCCUGUGGGGAUUGCAGAGGCAAAUCGAGAAAACACUUUACGCCCAUGCAUUAAGCCCAUUUUUCACAGAAUGGGGCUCAAAUACUCAAAAAAUAAGAUCAUACAUGUGGAACAUGCAUAUUCUGUCUAUAAAAGACAUCAAAGUACUUACCUUAUGAAGACAUCAAAGUACUUACCUUAUGAACUUGUUGUGGUUUUAUUACAAGUGUGUUCAAAGUUGUAUUGUGUGCAAGACUAACAUGUUCUCUGUUGUAACUUUUAAGAUUGCAAAGUAUUUCUGCAUUACUGACUAGUGUAAAUAAAUGUUGCCUCAUGUUUUGUUGAUUCAUCUUGAAAUGUCUAAUCCAAUAUUCUGUCUGUGAAUAAAAUGUUUUCUGUACAUUUA